CUACCCUCUGGAUGAGCAUACUCUCGGGAAACUGAGGCUAAUACUCAAUACCGUUCCACUGUUGGAACUACACGGAACUGCAAAUGCUCCGGCGCCAGAGGCUGUGGCUGCGGCCGAUUAGGUAGACGGUGGGGUAACGGCCCACCGUGCCAGUAAUCGGUACGGGUUGUGAGAGCAAGAGCCCGGAGACGGUAUCUGAGACAAGAUACCGGGCCCUACGGGGCGCAGCAGGCGCGAAACCUUUACACUGCACGACAGUGCGAUAAGGGGAUCCCCAGUGCGAGGGCAUAUAGUCCUCGCUUUUCACCACCGUAGGGAGGUGGUGGAACAAGAGCUGGGCAAGACCGGUGCCAGCCGCCGCGGUAAUACCGGCAGCUCAAGUGAUGGCCGCGAUUAUUGGGCCUAAAGCGUCCGUAGCCUGCCAGGUAAGUUUAUCGGGAAAUCUACAUGCUCAACAUGUAGGCGGCCGGUGAAUCCUGCCUGGCUUGGGACUGGACGGCUCGAGGGGUACGACCGGGGUAGGAGUGAAAUCCUAUAAUCCCGGUCGGACCACCGGUGGCGAAAGCGCCUCGAGAAGACAGAUCCGACGGUGAGGGACGAAAGCCAAGGUCACGAACCGGAUUAGAUACCCGGGUAGUCUUGGCCGUAAACGAUGCCCGUUAGGUGUGGCGCAGGCUACGAGCCUGCGCUGUGCCGCAGUGAAGACGAUAAACGGGCCGCCUGGGAAGUACGUCCGCAAGGAGUAAAUCA
rnacentral:rRNA from 1 species